rnacentral:rRNA from 1 species
GACGAAGGAUGCAAGCGUUAUCCGGAUUCAUUGGGUUUAAAGGGAGCGUAGGCGGACUUGUAAGUCAGUGGUGAAAUCUGUGGGCUUAACCCACAAACUGCCAUUGAUACUGCAGGUCUAGAGUACAGUUGCCGUUGGCGGAAUAUGACAUGUAGUGGUGAAAUACUUAAGAUAUGUCAUAGAACACCGAUUGCGAAGGCAGCUAACGAAGCUGUAACUGACGCUGAGGCUCGAAAGUGCGGGGAUCAAACAGG